rnacentral:lncRNA from 1 species
GGAAAAGGGACAGGGAAGGGGCAGACGGGACGGGGAAGGUGGGAAUGGGAUGAAGAGUGGGAUGAAGGUAGGGAUGUCAGGGUGGAGGGAGUGGAAAAGGGAUGGAGAAGGGGCAGAGGGCACGGAGGUGAUGGGGAAGGGGAAGAGGGGAUGGAAAUGGGGUGGAAAAGUGAUUGGGACAAUGCGAAGGGGGUGGAGAAGGGGAAGAGGGCAUGGAGAGGGUGAUGGAAAUGGGGUGGUAGGGAUGGAGGGGCUGCAAAGGGGACGAGGAAGGAGGGAAGGGAACAGGGAAGGUGCAAAGGGGGUGGGAAAGGCACGAAGGGGACGAAGAAGGUGUAAAGGGGACAAAGAAGGCACAAAGGGGGUGGGGAAGGGGUGCGGGGGUCACAGCCCCACAUCUCGGAGCCCAGCCCCACUCUUCCUGCAGCCCAUCCCGGCAACGCGGCACCGGGUCGCCCUGCAAAGCGACGUCGGAAAGCAGCAGCAGCAGCAGCAGCGCAGCCCCGGAGCAGAGCUUUGGGGCACCAGCGGGCUUUGGGGCCGCUGGAGGAGCUGCUGGGGUUGCGGGGCGGCCGCCUGCGCCCCACCAUCUGCGGGGAGUGCGGGAAGGGCUUCAGCCGCAGCUCGGACCUGGUGCGGCACCGCAUCACCCACACCGGGGAGAAACCCUACACCUGCGGGGCCUGCGGGAAGGGCUUCAGCCAGAACUCCAACCUGGUCACCCACCAGCGCAUCCACACCGGGGAGAAACCCUACAGCUGCGGGGCCUGCGGGAAGCGCUUCAGCGAGAGCUCGGCGCUCAUCCAGCACCAGCGGACCCACACCGGGGAAAAACCCUAUUGCUGCGGGGAGUGCGGGAAGCGCUUCAGCGUCAGCUCCAACCUCAUCCGGCACCGGCGCACCCACACCGACGAGAAGCCCUAUAUCUGCGUGGAGUGCGGGGAGGGCUUUCGCCACAAAUCCCAGCUGCGCCGGCACCAGAAGCUGCACUCGGCGUAGUGGGGACGCGGCUUUGGGGAUGGGGACGCGGCUUUAGGAUGGGGACGCGGCUUUAGGAUGGGGACGCAGCUUUGGGGAUGGGGACGCGGCUUUAGGAUGGGGAUGCGGCUUUAGGAUGGGGACGUGGCUUGUGGGAUGAGGAGCAGCACUGGUCACGGUCCCCUCAUCCGCGUUCCCACAGUGGGGACUGUGGGGUGGGUGUGCGGUGCUGGACCCGGCCCCCCACCCAGAAACCCCAAAAGCAGGACGGGGUGUUGGAAGAGGGAACGUAAUGGGGCGGUUGGGACUGCAGCCCAAACCAAUAAAAGGUGCUGGAGCUGCACUGCCUGGCCGGGGUCGUGCUGUAGGG